GCUGGGCGUGGUGGCGUUCGCCUGUAAUCCCAGCUACUUGGAGGCUGAGGCAGGAGAAUCAGUUGAAUCUGGGAGGCGGAGUUUGCAGUGAGCCGAGACUCCGCCACUGCACUCCAGCCUGGGCGACAGAGUGAGACUCUGUCUCUA
rfam:Homo sapiens chromosome 17, GRCh38 reference primary assembly.